AGUUUAAUCUCUCCACGUCUUGCUUGUAGAUCCAGAUGUAAACACUCAACAUCUAGCUUCAGCUGCUGUUCUUCUGCUCUGCCAUCAUGGACUCUGAUCCCUCUGGAACUAUAUCCUGAGAAAACUUUCAGCGGCAUGGCCCAACAGUCUUGGGAUUUUCUCAGCCACUUAAUCUUUUUGUGUUGCUUAAGAAGCCCUGAGAUUGAUUGGCCUGCUCUGCCCACUCUCCCUCACUGCUGGCAUUAUAGAUGCCCACCACCACUGGUUAAGUGUGUGCCAGGGAUCCAAACUCACACCUCUAUGUUUGUGCAGCAAGCAUUUUACCCAUGGGUUCAUCUCUCCAGUCUUCGAGGAACAGUUAUUCAGUAAGACAUUGUUUGUGACAACGGAUGCAAGACUUGUGAUGGAAACAUCAACAUCAGAAGCUGUGGAGCAGAUGUUCUUAGCCUCUUCCCUACUCUAUAAAUAGAACACACGAGCCUGGGCAGGAGGAAGGAGUAGGAUGACUUUUGAAGAACUUGGACACCAGGAACACAUGGAAAGCAGCCGUUUUAUAUUCAUCAGCCUGUAUUAUCAGCACAAAACUUUAAUAAACAUGAGCUUUCAGAAG
ensembl:antisense 2310030A07Rik RIKEN cDNA 2310030A07 gene